GUCGGCAGCCAUAUCACCCUGUAGCCCAAGACUGGUUGCCCACUGAAGCUAAGCAGGGCUGAGCCUGGUCAGUACCUGGAUGGGAGAGGUGUUAGUGAGGCCAGCAGGGGGUGCUCACC
rnacentral:rRNA from 1 species